GAAGUUAAAAUGGUGUAGUGCACGACAU
rnacentral:piRNA from 1 species